rnacentral:rRNA from 1 species
GACGAACGCUGGCGGCGUGCUUAACACAUGCAAGUCGAACGGAAAGGCCCUUCGGGGUACUCGAGUGGCGAACGGGUGAGUAACACGUGGGUGAUCUGCCCUGCACUUUGGGAUAAGCCUGGGAAACUGGGUCUAAUACCGAAUACACCUCGCUGGCCGCAUGGUCUGGUGGGGGAAAGCUUUUGCGGUGUGGGAUGGGCCCGCGGCCUAUCAGCUUGUUGGUGGGGUGAUGGCCUACCAAGGCGACGACGGGUAGCCGGCCUGAGAGGGUGACCGGCCACACUGGGACUGAGAUACGGCCCAGACUCCUACGGGAGGCAGCAGUGGGGAAUAUUGCACAAUGGGCGCAAGCCUGAUGCAGCGACGCCGCGUGGGGGAUGACGGCCUUCGGGUUGUAAACCCCUUUCAGCACAGACGAAGCGCGAGUGACGGUAUGUGCAGAAGAAGGACCGGCCAACUACGUGCCAGCAGCCGCGGUAAUACGUAGGGUCCGAGCGUUGUCCGGAAUUACUGGGCGUAAAGAGCUCGUAGGUGGUUUGUCGCGUUGUUCGUGAAAACUCACAGCUCAACUGUGGGCGUGCGGGCGAUACGGGCAGACUAGAGUACUGCAGGGGAGACUGGAAUUCCUGGUGUAGCGGUGGAAUGCGCAGAUAUCAGGAGGAACACCGGUGGCGAAGGCGGGUCUCUGGGCAGUAACUGACGCUGAGGAGCGAAAGCGUGGGGAGCGAACAGGAUUAGAUACCCUGGUAGUCCACGCCGUAAACGGUGGGUACUAGGUGUGGGUUUCCUUCCUUGGGAUCCGUGCCGUAGCUAACGCAUUAAGUACCCCGCCUGGGGAGUACGGCCGCAAGGCUAAAACUCAAAGAAAUUGACGGGGGCCCGCACAAGCGGCGGAGCAUGUGGAUUAAUUCGAUGCAACGCGAAGAACCUUACCUGGGUUUGACAUGCACAGGACGCUGGUAGAGAUAUCAGUUCCCUUGUGGCCUGUGUGCAGGUGGUGCAUGGCUGUCGUCAGCUCGUGUCGUGAGAUGUUGGGUUAAGUCCCGCAACGAGCGCAACCCCUAUCUUAUGUUGCCAGCGCGUCAUGGCGGGGACUCGUAAGAGACUGCCGGGGUCAACUCGGAGGAAGGUGGGGAUGACGUCAAGUCAUCAUGCCCCUUAUGUCCAGGGCUUCACACAUGCUACAAUGGCCGGUACAAAGGGCUGCGAAUCCGCGAGGUGGAGCGAAUCCCUCGAAAGCCGGUCUCAGUUCGGAUUGGGGUCUGCAACUCGACCCCAUGAAGUCGGAGUCGCUAGUAAUCGCAGAUCAGCAACGCUGCGGUGAAUACGUUCCCGGGCCU